rnacentral:rRNA from 1 species
GGGGAAUUUUCCGCAAUGGGCGAAAGCCUGACGCAGCGACACCGCGUGGGGGAAGAAGGCUUUCGGGUUGUAAAUCCCUUUUCUCGGGGAAGAGUAAGGACGGUACCCGAGGAAUAAGCCUCGGCUAACUACGUGCCAGCAGCCGCGGUAAGACGUAGGAGGCGAGCGUUGUCCGGAUUUACUGGGCGUAAAGGGCGAGUAGGCGGCCCGCCAAGUCUCAUGUGAAAUCUCUCGGCUCAACUGGGAGGGGUCAUGGGAAACUGGCGGGCUCGAGGGCAGUAGAGGAGAGUGGAAUUCCCGGAGUAGCGGUGAAAUGCGUAGAUACCGGGAGGAACAUCCGAGGCGAAGGCGACUCUCUGGGCUGCACCUGACGCUGAGGCGCGAGAGCAUGGGGAGCGAACCGGAUUAGAUACCCUGGUAGUCCACGCCGUAAACGGUGGGCACUAGGUGUGGGGCCUAAUCAACGGGUUCCGUGCCCGUAGUUAACGCAUUAAAGUGCCCCGCCUGGGGAGUACGGCCGCAAGGCUAAAACUCAAAGGAAUUGACGGGGGCCCGCACAAGCGGCGGAGCAUGUUGCUUAAUUCGAGGCAACGCGAAGAACCUUACCUGGGUUUGACAUGUAGGGAAAAGCCAUAGAGAUAUGGUGUCCUUCGGGGUCCUACACAGGUGGUGCAUGCCUGUCGUCAGCUCGUGUCGUGAGAUGUUGGGUUAAGUCCCGCAACGAGCGCAACCCUCGUCCUAUGUUGCCAGCACGUAAUGGUGGGGACUCGUAGGAGACCGCCGGGGUCAACUCGGAGGAAGGUGGGGACGACGUCAAGUCAUCAUGCCCCUUAUAUCCAGGGCUGCAAACAUGCUACAAUGGCCGGCAUAACGGGCAGCGAUACCGCGAGGUAAAGCGAAUCCCUUAAAACCGGUCUCAGUUCGGAUUGGAGUCUGCAACUCGACUCCAUGAAGUCGGAGUCGCUAGUAAUCCCGGAUCAGCAACGCCGGGGUGAAUACGUUCCCGGGCCUUGUACACACCGCCCGU